UACGUAGGGGGCAAGCGUUGUCCGGAUUUAUUGGGCGUAAAGCGCGUGUAGGCGUCAGACCAAGUCGGCGGUGAAAGCGCCCGGCUCAACUGGGCGAGGUCCGUGGAAACUGGUCAGCUGGAGGACGGUAGAGGCGAGUGGAAUUCCCGGUGUAGUGGUGAAAUGCGUAGAGAUCGGGAGGAACACCUGUGGCGAAGGCGACUUUCUGGCCUGUUCUUGACGCUGAGGCGCGAAAGCUAGGGGAGCAAACGGG
rnacentral:rRNA from 1 species